UACGUAGGGUGCGAGCGUUGUCCGGAAUUAUCGUGGCGUAAAGAGCUCGUAGGCGGUUUGUCACGUCUGCUGUGAAAUCCCGAGGCUCAACCUCGGGCCUGCAGUGGGUACGGGCAGACUGGAGUGCGGUAGGGGAGAAUGGAAUUCCUGGUGUAGCGGUGGAAUGCGCAGAUAUCAGGAGGAACACCGAUGGCGAAGGCAGUUCUCUGGGCUGACACUGACGCUCAUGCACGAAAGCGUGGGGAGCGAA
rnacentral:rRNA from 1 species